rnacentral:lncRNA from 1 species
GCCGUGACUCACAGCUGAAAAGCAGCUAAGGACAAUUUCUAAUUUUCUCAGUUUUAUUUGCCCUACUCAAACUAGAAGGGGAAAAAUGCUGAAUUUGUUUCUUCUGUUGCCUUGUUAACUUUGCAUAAACUCUAAGCAGAAUCAGUGCGUGCUCUUGGAAGGUGGCCUUUACUAGCAGCUACUUCGGACCAUACAUUCUUAAGAUUAUUACUGCAUGCAGCUAUGGAUAAUACUUUUACUGGGUUUAGAAUUUAAAAAGCAUGGUAUUACAGAAGAGCCUCUGCAGGAGUUGCUUAAUUACUCUCCUUUGCUCAUCUUUCCUGAUGGUUGUUCUAGAUGGAUAACAGGACUUCACUGGGUGAAACAACAACAAAAAGAAGUCAAAAAAUGAAGACUGUGUAAGAAUUUAAUAAGGAAGCAACACUGAGGUGAAUUCCAGAAAGUACCUGUGGGACACAAAUUGGAGAACAGACAGAUAUGAUCCUUAGAGCAAUGCUUAAAAUCUGUCUUCCAUGAAAAUACUUUGAUUGACAGUUUAAUUUUAUAAUGGUAACAAGAUCAACAGUCUUGCUACUUUGUAUGACUUUUAAGCAAGUAAAUGGGUCCCGGAGUUUCCUUCAGGUUCUCUAGCACAGUGCUGGAAAUGCAGCACCUGUGUCAAAUGAAGCAUGACCAGCAGGGCAAAGUGGGUGGCUGUUCACUUCUAUACUUCCCUUGAAAGACCUCAUUUGCAGUUCUGCAUUCAGCUCUGAGGGCACCAACAUGAGGACAUGAGACUGUUGCAGUGAGCCCUGAAGAGAGCCAAAAAGAUGACCAGGGGGCUGGAGCACCUCUGAAGGUAGGCUAAGAGUGUUGGGGUUCUGGAUAAGAAAAGUCUCUGGGAGACCUUAUGGUGGCCUUACAGUAUUCAAAGUAGGCCUCAAUCUCAAGAUGAGGAGAGAUGCUUUAUCAGAGUCUGUAGUAAUAGGACAAUGGGUAACAGCUUUAAACUAGAAGGGGGUAGAUAUAGAUAAGGUACUACAAAUAAAUUCUUUACUCAGAGGAUGGUGAGGCGCUGG